rnacentral:lncRNA from 1 species
CGUGUGCUAAUAUACUCAAGUUAUUGUCUGGGAACAAAGAUGUUUCCGAUGCCGACACUGACAUCGCCAUAACAUAAUACGAGCGCAAAUUUUGUUUACAGUCGUAUACAGGACCGUAACUGGGGUUCGAAUCUAGGGGAGGCAGGGGUUUGGGGGCCGCCGAUUUUUUUCUCUCAGUAAAAUGGAUAAAAAUGACCCGUUUUCCUUCGAUUUCCUUACUUUAAGAAAACAACCUGUAUGAAAUAUUUAUGCAAAAACAAGCUGAGAUUGCUGUUCGACGUGAGCCAAUGCUUCGUCUUGAAGACCGUACUUUGACCUAUAAUUAUUAACAUUAAAUACAUUGUGAUCGCGGAUUUUUUUUCUCUUAAUAAAAUCAGUGGCUAAAAAUGACC